rnacentral:lncRNA from 10 species
CUCACUGCAAGCUCUGCCUCCCGGGAGAGUUGCUUGAACCUGGGAGGCGGAGGUUGCAGUAAGACAAGUCACACCACUGCACUCUAGCCUGGUAAGAGCAAAACUCCAUCUCAAAAAAAAAAGGAGAUUAGGAAAAUUAACAGGGCAAGCAGGCAUUGUCUGAGCAGAUGGACUGGAUGAUGUGCAUAGGAAUUAGAAGGAUAUAACCUUUUCAUUGUUUCUGUUUUCCUACUUGUAAAAUGGGUAUUUAUGUAAUCCUAGGAAAGCAGGAACUAAAGUCAGUAUCAGGAUUUGCAAAAUUACUUUUACCUUUGAACAUACAAAUGUUUUAGAAAUUAGAAUGUUGCAGUUGUGGCUAGGACCCUGUGGAUUCCAAAAUUUUAUUUUUGGUCUAGUUGAUUCUUCCAAACUAAGUUUUAUUGUAUCUUUAUUGCAAAUUAAAUACGCCCAUUAAUGUAGCAUAUAUGUUUGCUGUUGUGGUAGUGUACUUGCAUUAAUACCUACAGACGUUGUGUUAGCCAAAUACAGGUUUAAAAAAACUAAUUUGAGCCAAAUAACACAAGGGUAAUUAAUAUAUUACUAUCUUUCUGGGUUUUUUUUCUUUUUUUUUUUUUUUUUUUUUUUUUGAGACAGAGUCUCGCUCUGUCACCCAGGUUGGAGUGCAGUGGUACAAUCUUGGCUCACUGCAAGCUCUGCCUCCCAGGUUCAUGCCAUUCUCCUGCCUCAGCCUCCUGAGUAGCUGGGACUACAGGCACACGCCACCACACCUGGCUAAUUUUUUGUAUUUUUAAUAGAGAUGGGGUUUCACCGUUUUAGCCAGACUGGUCUUGAUCUCCUGACCUCACGAUCUGCCCGCCUCAGCCUCCCAAAGUGCUGACUUUUUUUUUCUUUUUCUCUUUUUUUUUGAGACAGAGUCUCGCUCUGUUGCCCAGGCUGGAGUGCAGUGGCGCAAUCUUGGCUCACUGCAAGCUCCACCUCCCGGGUUCACGCCAUUCUCUUGCCUCAGCCUCCCGAGUAGCUGGGACUACAGGCGCCUGCCACCACACCAGGCUAAUUUUUUGUAUUUUUUUUUUUUUAGUAGAGACGGAGUUUCACCAUGUUGGCCAAGAUGGUCUCGAUCUCCUGACCUCGUGAUCUUUCCGCCUUGGCCUCCCAAAGUGCUGGGAUUACAGGCGUGAGCCACCAUGCCUGGCCCUGAUUUGUUUUUUUAAAUCAUUCUACAGAGGGGGAGGUUGCAGUGAGCCGAGAUUGCGCCACUGCACUCCAACCUGGCAAGAGAGCGAGAUUCCGUCUCAAAAAAUAAUAAUAAUAAUUCUACUCAACUAUUAUCUUUGGAGCCAAUUCUGGUUAAAAAAAAAAGUACUAUUAAAAGGCAGAUUGCAUUGAUGUUUAAAAACUAGAUGUUGAAAACAAUUGCUUGGGGAAAUUAUUUGCUUUGGGUUUUAAUAGCAUUUUAACAUAGAAUAGUAACUCAACAGAAGAACUUGUGUUUAUAAAUGUAUAAGUUGGUCAAGAUAAUUUUUAAAAUCUUUUUUUUUUUUUUUUUUUUUUU